GAUGAAGAACGUAGCGAAAUGCGAUAAGUAAUGUGAAUUGCAGAAUUCAGUGAAUCAUCGAAUCUUUGAACGCACAUUGCGCCCGCCAGUAUUCUGGCGGGCAUGCCUGUUCGAGCGUCAUUUCAACCCUCAAGCCCCCGGGCUUGGUGUUGGGGAUCGGCGUGCCCUCGCGGCGCGCCGUCCCCUAAAUCUAGUGGCGGUCUCGCUGUAGCUUCCUCUGCGUAGCAGCAACACUCGCACUGGAUCGCAGCGCGGCCACGCCGUUAAACCCCCCACUUCUGAAAGUUUGACCUCGGAUCAGGUAGGAAUACCCGCUGAACUUAAGCAUAUCAAUAAGCGGAGGA
rnacentral:misc_RNA from 1 species